rnacentral:rRNA from 1 species
GAGACUCUGUGCGCGUGCAUAUCAAUAAGCGGAGGAAAAGAAACUAACAUAGGAUUCCCUCAGUAACGGCGAGUGAAGCGGGAAGAGCUCAAAUUUGAAAUCUUCAAGGUUCUACCUUGACGAAUUGUAGUUUAUAGAAGUGUUUUCUGUAGUGGAGUUCGGUAAAAGUUCUUUGGAAUAGGACAUCAUAGAGGGUGAGAAUCCCGUAUUUGACCGUUACUUUCCUAGCUGUGUGAUACACUUUCAAAGAGUCGGAUUGUUUGGGAAUGCAGUCCAAAAUGGGUGGUAAAUUUCAUCUAAAGCUAAAUAUUGGCGAGAGACCGAUAGCGAACAAGUACCGUGAGGGAAAGAUGAAAAGAACUUUGAAAAGAGAGUUAAACAGUACGUGAAAUUGUCAAAAGGGAAGCGUUUGACACCAGUGUUGUUUAGUUGAAAAUCAAUUCAAUAAUUUUUGAUUUUAAGUAGUAUUGACUUCAUCAGCUUGCUGCUUUCUUUUCAGGAAUUAUUGAAUGCACUUUUCAGUUAACAAGUCAACAUCAAUUUCUUUUGUUGUAAAAGGGUAAGAGGAAGGUGGCUUACGUUUCGGCGUAAGUGUUUAUAGCCUUUUACCUCUGCAAUCGGAGAGAUUGAGGACAGCAGCGUAGACUCCUUCUGGGGUUAGAUACACUUGUGCUAAGCUAUAGCCUUGUAUAGACAACUUGUUGACUAUGCUCAGUCAUGUAGCUUACUCGCUUGUGCUAUUUUACCUACGCUUAGGAUGUUGAAGUCAUCGUAUCGCGC